rnacentral:rRNA from 1 species
UACGUAGGGCGCGAGCGUUGUCCGGAAUUAUUGGGCGUAAAGAGCUCGUAGGCGGCCUGUCACGUCCGCUGUGAAAUCCCGGGGCUCAACCCCGGGCCUGCAGUGGAUACGGGCUGGCUGGAGGCAGGCAGGGGAGAACGGAAUUCCUGGUGUAGCGGUGAAAUGCGCAGAUAUCAGGAGGAACACCGAUUGCGAAGGCAGCUCGCUGGGACGUCACUGACGCUGAGACGCGAAAGCGUGGGGAGCAAACAGG